rnacentral:rRNA from 1 species
UACGUAGGGUGCGAGCGUUAAUCGGAAUUACUGGGCGUAAAGCGUGCGCAGGCGGUUUGGUAAGACAGACGUGAAAUCCCCGGGCUUAACCUGGGAACUGCGUUUGUGACUGCCAGACUAGAGUGCGGCAGAGGGGGGUAGAAUUCCACGUGUAGCAGUGAAAUGCGUAGAUAUGUGGAGGAAUACCGAUGGCGAAGGCAGCCCCCUGGGUCGACACUGACGCUCAUGCACGAAAGCGUGGGGAGCAAACAGG